AACAACUCAAGUGUCCAGCAACCAAUGAAUGGAUAGAUAAAAUGUGGUGUGUGUGUGUGUGUGUGUGUGUGUAUAUAUAUACACACACACACACACACAA
rnacentral:miRNA from 1 species